AGAGUUUGAUUCUGGCUCAGGAUGAACGCUGGCGGCGUGCCUAAUACAUGCAAGUCGAACGGGGAUGCAGCGAUGUAUCCUAGUGGCGACCGGGUGCGUAACACGUAGCUGACCUGCCCCUCAGCGGGGGACAACAUGCCGAAAGGCGUGCUAAUACCGCAUGAACUGGAGGUGACUAGAUAGCCUUCAGGAAACCUACGGGGCUGAGGGAGGGGGCUGUGGCUCAUCAGGUAGUUGGUGGGGUAACGGCUCACCAAGCCGACGACGAGUAGGGGGCCUGAGAGGGUGACCCCCCACACUGGAACUGACACACGGUCCAGACUCCUACGGGAGGCAGCAGUAAGGAAUAUUGGGCAAUGGGCGCAAGCCUGACCCAGCAACGCCGCGUGGAGGAAGACGGUCUUCGGAUCGUAAACUCCUUUUGAGGGGGACGAGGAAGGACGGUACCCCUUGAAUCAGUGACGGCUAACUACGUGCCAGCAGCCGCGGUAAUACGUAGGUCACGAGCGUUAUCCGGAUUUACUGGGCGUAAAGCGUGUGCAGGCUGUUAGGUAAGUGGUGUGUGAAAGCGCUCGGCUUAACCGGGCGAGGUCAUGCCAGACUGCCUAGCUCGAGGCAGCCAGAGGGACAUGGAAUUCCGAGUGUAGCGGUGAAAUGCGUAGAGAUUCGGAGGAACACCAGAGGCGAAGGCGGUGUCCUGGGGCUGACCUGACGCUCAGACACGACAGCAUGGGGAGUGAACGGGAUUAGAAACCCCGGUAAUCCAUGCCGUAAACGAUGCAGACUAGGUGUCGGCGGUCUCAACCCCGUCGGUAUCGGAGCUAACGCGCUAAGUCUGCCGCCUGGGGACUACGGUCGCAAGACUAAAACUCAAAUGAAUUUGACGGGG
rnacentral:rRNA from 1 species